rnacentral:lncRNA from 1 species
UCACCGGGGAAAUAAAAAGAAUUUCAGAUGCAAAGAUUUGAGUUUUGGUGUUUUGAGUUUCUGAAAUUAUGCUGAGUUGUCUUCUGUCAAGGAUCUAAGAAUAGCACAUCGAGACCUAUUUGAGAAUAGAUUUCUGGUAGGUUCGAGUAACCAAGAGCAGUAGAGCUUCAAGCAAAGCAAGCACUGAAUCUUCACUUCGAGGUGGGCUUUAUUUUGCUAAAAUCUAUUU